GAUGAAGAACGUAGCGAAAUGCGAUACUUGGUGUGAAUUGCAGAAUCCCGUGAACCAUCGAGUCUUUGAACGCAAGUUGCGCCUCAAGCCAUUAGGUUGAGGGCACGUCUGCCUGGGCGUCACAUAUCGUUGCCUGAUGCCAGUUUCCUCGUGAUGGGUGACUGUGCAGGGCGAAUGAUGGCUUCCCGUGAGCAUUGUUGCCUCAUGGUUGGUUGAAAAUUGAGUCCUUGGUAGGGAGCGCCGUGAUAGAUGGUGGUUGAGUGACGAACGAGACCCAAUCAUGUGAGACCCCUACCGAAUUUGGCCUUCAUGACCCACAUGCGUCUUUGGAACGCUCAUGACGAGACCUCAGGUCAGGCGGGGCUACCCGCUGAGUUUAAGCAUAUCAAUGAGCGGAGGA
rnacentral:misc_RNA from 1 species